UGUGAGCUGACCGGUUCUUGUCAGAGGCGGCUGUGGGUUCAGGCUCACUUGACAGCUCGCUCGACAGCAGAUGCAAUCUGGAUGAGCCAGCGGGAAAUCAGACAGUGAGGGGUGGGAGACACAAGGUCUUCUGUGUUGACUCUUCAGAGCCGCGCCCUCCCUCUGCUACCUUCUUCAACCUGGAACCUUCUUCAACCCGGAAGUGUUCAGCCCAGCCCUCGCCCUCGCCGGAAGUGUCUACCGGUCUUGGAUCUGAGACAGGAAGUGACUCGGGUGAGCUUCUCGAAGGCAUCAACCUUGUCUUGGCCAUCACUCGGUUUCCAGAUCCUGCUGGAGAAUUCAAGAGAUACCUGUUAAUGGAUCAUCUACCCACCCUCUGCCCGUUUUAUGGAGGCAGAAGCUGAAGCCCAGAGAGGAUGCCUGACCUUCUUAAGGUCGCACAGCUCACUGACAGCGGAGUCAGACCCAGGAAUUCAACCUGCUGGACCUUUCUUACGUCUCCCCUUCUUGUGUUUUGGCUUUUCCCUCCAUCUCCGCCCUUGGGGUGUCUCUUCUUUUCAUCAGAUACAAUGAAGAGCCCAAGUAUGGACUGAGGAUAAAGCUGAGGCUCCUCCCUCCGAGAGGGGCAGUGUUGCAGAGUGUUUCCCAUUUCUCGGCUUGCCUCCCACCACGUGUUGACUCACCUGCUUCCCCAGGGAAGGAGUACGGCCACCUUGUGUCAGUAUAAGGAGAAUGCAAUGAAUACCCUUGUGCGUAUCUUCCUGUGGCCCCAACUGAGAAUGUCUUCCGGCUCUGUCACCAGUGAUGGCUUUGCUGAGCUCAGGAGUGUCUGCACACUUAAUUCCACCAAGUCUGGCCAGACUGUUCUCAGAUGGCUGCGUCCUUCACACUCUCUCCAGCUGUGAGUGAGAAUGGCUGUUUCACCACAUUUUUGCCAAGACACAAUACUAUCUUUCCCUUUGACUUUUGCCACUCAAAUGGGGAUAAUGCGGUACUUCAUGGUUAAUUUAAUUUCCGUGUCAGUCGUCACUGGUAAUCUUGA